rnacentral:sRNA from 1 species
AUCAGUGUUGCUUUGAGCGUCCACUUGUCGUGUAGCAUAGGAUCUCGCCAGGGACUGUCUUUACUUCCAUUACUCUUCACACUAAACAAAAAAAGUAGUCACCAUGAAUUCCUACUUGGCUAUCGCUUUCGUCGUCUGUCUGGCUGUCAUGCAGGUCACAUCACAAGGUUUUAAUGAUUUACAUCGACUGCUAGCUAUGGAAACGAUGGGAUUGGACAUCCCCGAUUCCUUCAUUAAUUACCAAUUGUUUAGGGGCAUGGUUCCACCCAGCCAGGGAUUUAGAACAAACACUCCGUUUACAUCGACCAGAUUUUCAAACUCUCAGGCUACCUUGAAUCAACGUCCAAGGAAUACUGCUACUUCCUCUUCCGGUUCUACCACGCAAACUGAUACUAACCCUACAAGAUUCAACUCACCAGACUUUUCUGCAUUUUUUCCGAAUCCUACUCCGGUCCGUUCGACAAAUACUAACAAUAAUUACAUGUAUCAGAGAAUGAAUCCUUUCUUUUUGGCCAUGAUGGAAAACUUUGUCUGAAUGAGAGACCCUCGUGUAUCCUCUUAUUAAAAUUUUUUGGUCCUCCUAACAUUUUUAACCAUUUUGUACGAAACUAAAUUAAUCGGAUAAAUAUGCAUGUGUUUUACUCCCCCUAACGGCACAAAUUUGCCUUCCAAAUUUAGACACUCAGCAUGGACUUCUAAUAAAUGUUAAAGAACAAAAACAAUCUUUCAAAUCUCGAGAUUAUCAAUUUUGAAAAAAAAAAAUGAUUUUAUUCUCAUUCGGACCUUUACGCAUGCGCGUCUGAUAUGCAGUUUCCUGUUUACUAGGUACACGAGCGGUCUCGAGGCGCAGAGCCGAACAGACAAUAUCUGCCAAGCGAACAUCCAUAAAUAGGCCAAUUCCUAAUGUACCUUUCUGGGCUCUGCAAAAUGAAAAUAUGAUGGAGUACUUAAUGUUCCAACAAAUGUUUCAUGGGGCUCAACACUCCAACCAGCAUCAACAGCCGAACUCAUUUGCUAACUAUUUUUUCUGGGACAUGUUUCAGUGAACUAAUGAACUUUGAUUCCCGCCGAUCGCUAAAUUUAUAAUUAACUGUUUUUAACCAUUUCAAACUAUCUUUCUUUCUUUUUUUUAUAACAUGCUCUUGAAUUUGUACUAUUAAAGGUGAAAUUCUU